rnacentral:rRNA from 1 species
AAAGUCUGACCUGCCCUAUGAAUUUUUAAAUGGCUGCGGUACUCUGACCGUGCAAAGGUAGCAUAAUAAUUAGUUUCUUAAUUGGGAACUGGAAUGAAAGGUCGAACGAGAAAAAGACUGUCUCAAUUUAAUUUUUAUUAGAAUUUUAUUUUUAAGUAAAAAAGCUUAAAUAUUAUUAAAAGACGAGAAGACCCUAUAGAGUUUUAUAAUUUUAUAUAUAAUUGAAAGUUAAAGUAUUAUAGAUUUGAUUAUAUAUAAAAUUAUUUGGUUGGGGCGACUAAAAAAUUGAUUAAACUUUUUUUAUUUAUAAACAUUGAUAUAUGAGUAAGUGAUCCA